GACGAACGCUGGCGGCGUGCUUAACACAUGCAAGUCGAACGAUGAAGCCCAGCUUGCUGGGUGGAUUAGUGGCGAACGGGUGAGUAACACGUGGGCAACCUGCCCCAAACUCUGGGAUAACUCCUCGAAAGAGGUGCUAAUACCGGAUACGAACUAGACAAACAUCUGUACUAGUUGGAAAGUUUUUCGGUUUGGGAUGGGCCCGCUGCCUAUCAGCUUGUUGGUGAGGUAGCGGCUCACCAAGGCUACGACGGGUAACCGGCCUGAGAGGGCGACCGGUCACACUGGGACUGAGACACGGCCCAGACUCCUACGGGAGGCAGCAGUGGGGAAUAUUGCGCAAUGGGCGAAAGCCUGACGCAGCGACGCCGCGUGAGGGAUGAAGGUCUUCGGAUCGUAAACCUCUUUCAGUAGGGACGAAGCGAAAGUGACGGUACCUAAAGAAGAAGCACCGGCUAACUACGUGCCAGCCGCCGCCGUAA
rnacentral:rRNA from 1 species